AAAAAUUAACCCGAAUAAUUCAGUCGUUAUAUUCCGCUUACUACAUUAACGCCUGAAUGCAUAGACAAUGAAAAAUCUUCAAUCAACCAUUCGGAAUUAGCUCGGGAUUUACCUAUCUCGAUAAAAUUGAGCUAAUUGCUGAUUGGUCACCUCUUCUACAGGGCACCAAUCAAAAUCCAGGAUUCGUGAAGAGUUUUUAUCGUGUUAGGACUUCAGGCCCUCGCAAGUAGGAGAGAUCGAUUACGGGGAGGGACUGAAUUAUUCGGGUUACUUAAAAAUAUGAU
rnacentral:lncRNA from 1 species